rnacentral:misc_RNA from 1 species
UCCUCUUUACAGAGGCAGUUUGUUUCGAGUUCCCGGCAUGACCCGCUGGCAACAAAACAUGAGGGUUGCGCUCGUUGCGGGACUUAACCCAACAUUUCACAACACGAGCUGACGACAGCCAUGCACCACCUGUGCACCACCCUCGAAGGCGACCGCUUUUGGGCGGCUUGCAGGUGCAUGUCAAGCCCUGGUAAGGUUCUUCGCGUUGCAUCGAAUUAAGCCAUAUGCUCCACCGCUUGUGCGGGCCCCCGCCAAUUCCUUUGAGUUUCAACCUUGCGGCCGUAGUCCCCAGGCGGUUCACUUAAUGCGUUAGCUGCGGCACCGAGGGAAACCCCCGACACCUAGUGAACAUCGUUUAUGGCCAAGACUAC